AUGUGGCAUGGCAAGAUGCAUCUCACCAGAAACGGUCAAAAGCUGGCAAGAGUAAUAGGAGUCAAUUGCCGUACAAUCAUACCAAUGGGUCUCGCUCAUUUCCUAUCGCAAUGGCUGCUAUGGUAGCAAAAGAUGGAGAGUUGGAUUUCCCAAAGUUCUAUGAGGACAGCCACACUUCAAAGAAAACGAAUGACUGGAUCCAUCCGAAAUGCCGUGAGCUGCAU